CGGCUGCACUGUUUUUUGCGGCCCUGAGCGGAGCAAUGAUCGCGUUUCUCAUUUUCCCCGUUGACAUGUUGCUCGGAGCGCAGCGCUAUUGGAACAGUAUUGCAGGUGACAACGGUACCAGCUUGAUUGGCUUCUACGCCCUCGCGCACGAUAGAUGGUCGUGGCCCGUUCUGUAUACUCAACUGAGCAAUUUUCCUGGCGGCGCGAAUAUCUAUUACUCCGAUGCGAUACCGGUGCUCGCGGUUUUUUUUAAAGCGAUUUACAAGGUUUCUGGCAUUNNNNNNNNACUUUGGUCUUUGGCUUCUCCUUUCAUACAUUCUGAUGGCAGUUGCUGCCUUUCUAACCUU
rnacentral:misc_RNA from 1 species